UCUUUGGCCUUUGCUUAUAUAUCAUUGUUAUUGACCUCAAUUUUGAUGGUCGAUCCUCUCUGUUUCUGCAAAUCUCUUGUAAUUCUUACCGGCAUGUGUGUGUUUUCUGCUUUUUAUGUAGAUUAGGCUACCCCAAUGCCAGAGUUGUUUGUAGUUCGCUUGAAGUGCAUCUUUAUUUAAACAAGUUGGGUUGUUGCUGCUGCAAUUUGCUGUGGUUUGAAAGAACAGCUCAUUGCAUAGCCUCGGCUAAUAUCGUAGCCUGUCACUGAGCUCCAAUUCCCUUGGUUGAAGACUAAACGAUUGCCUGAACAUGCUCGCAUCUCGGAUUCUAAUUUAACUGCAUCAUUCUAUUUCAACAGGGGGAAUUUUACUUCUUACCAUAUUGUGGGCUGGAAUCCAGCCGAAUUAGAAAGACUUUGGGGGAUUUCCUGAAAGUGGGAUUAUUCUGCAAAACCCAUACUAAUGAAUAUGAGAGCUGCCGGGAAAGUUCCGGUGUCGGCUGUAGAGAGAAAAAACGGUGAAUAUGAUCGCUCACGACGAGGAUUUGCCUGUAAUUUUGGCUUGGAAUCACUGCUUCUGCUUAUAUGUCUAACGGCAUCCUUGCUCAUCCUCCCAUUGGUGCUUCCGCCGUUGCCUCCCCCACCUUUCAUCCUCUUACUGCUUCCCAUUGCCAUUUUAACCGUCCUCCUCUUGUUGGCUUUCAUGCCAUCUAACUUAAGGGAUUUAACAUUGUAAAUGCCAUCCCUUACAUCAUACAAAAUUUUGUUAUACCUGCAAUAAUAUUUAGAAAUUUGAAUGAACACUGGUUUGUUGCA